GAUGAACGCUGGCGGCGUGCCUAAUACAUGCAAGUCGAGCGAACAGACGAGGAGCUUGCUCCUCUGACGUUAGCGGCGGACGGGUGAGUAACACGCGGAUAACCUACCUAUAAGACUGGGAUAACUUCGGGAAACCGGAGCUAAUACCGGAUAAUAUAUUGAACCGCAUGGUUCAAUAGUGAAAGACGGUUUUGCUGUCACUUAUAGAUGGAUCCGCGCCGCAUUAGCUAGUUGGUAAGGUAACGGCUUACCAAGGCAACGAUGCGUAGCCGACCUGAGAGGGUGAUCGGCCCCACUGGAAAUGAGACACGGUCCAGACUCCUACGGGAGGCAGGAGUAGGGAAUCUUCCGCAAUGGGCGAAAGCUUGACGGGGCAAAGCCGCGUGAGUGAUGAAGGUCUUCGGAUCGUAAAACCCUGUUAUUAGGGAAGAAAAAAUGUGUAAGUAACUAUGCACGUCUUGACGGUACCUAAUCAGAAAGCCACGGCUAACUACGUG
rnacentral:rRNA from 1 species